GUCACUCUUUGCUCGUUUAGGUACAAGUUUCUGGGGUUUUUAUUUCUGGCCGGCCUGUAACCCUGUAACCAGAAAUCACAAGACACGGCCAAGACACGGGAAAUGCACAGGGUAAGUGGCCGCCAGCUCAACCAAAAGGGAGCCGGCUGCCAUAAUCAUCAAUGAUCCAACCGCAGGUUCACCUACGGUUA
rnacentral:misc_RNA from 1 species